CCUAAACGUGAACAUGGCCGAAGGGCAACGAGCCAAGACGUACCAUUUUUCACCCUGAAUGGGAGGAAGAUUAUUUCUUUGCUUACUCUCGUUCAAAGCCUAUUGGUUUGAUAUGCAAUGCAACGGUGGCGUUGGCAAAGAAAGACAAUCUGGAGCGGCAUUUUAAAACAGAACACGGGAGCUACGAGAGGGAUUUCCCGAUAAAAACGCCUUUGUGCGCCACAGAAGUGCGAGAUUUGAAAGCGCAGAUCGCAGCAAGACAGUCGGUGUUCACCGAACCGAAGACCCAGGGUAAUAUAAGACUAUUGCUUCCUAUCGCGUCAGUCACGUCCUUGCUAAACACAAGAAGCCAUUCGGUGACGGCGAUAUUGUGAAGGAAGCCUUUCUCCAGGCAGCGGAUAGCCUGUUUGACGACUUUAAAAAUAAAACUGAGAUCGUGAAGGCUAUUAAAGAAGUGCAACUCUCCCGUAAAAUACUACUACAAGUCGACGUGAGGGAAUGGAUGUGGAUGUGGAGGAGCAACUGAAGGAUAUUGACGCUUGCGAGUGUUUUUCCCUCCAAUUUGACGAGUCGACUGAUGUGGUGGAUGUGACUCAAUUGUGUUUUCCUCGGGAUAGUUUUUGAAGAUAUGACUGCCAAGGAAGAGCUACUCACCAUUUUGCCAUUAAAAGGACAUACCAGAGGUGAGUAUAUUUUUAAUGCUUUCAUGGGCUUUGUUAGCGAGACAAAACUGCCCUCUUCAAGCUGAUCUCUAUGAUGGGCCGCACCGGUGGGUUUACUGCACUGUGCAAAGAAUGGGAGUCUUUCCCGGAUAUCCUGAAUUAUCAUUGUAUAAUUCACCAGCAAGCGUUGUGUGGAAAGAUUUUAAAUAUGAAAGAAGUGAUGGAUAUUGCGAUGAAGACUGUGUUCAGUUCAAACCAGGAGUCUGCAGAGAAGCCUUUUCUGUGCUCACUUGGAGGAGAAUGAUGCUGAGCACACAGACCUGCUGCUUCACACAGAUGUUAGGUGGUCAAGCAGAGGUACAUUUUUGGCCAGAUUUACAGAGCUGUUGCCUGAAACCGAGGACUUCCUGAAGCUUUCAAAACAUGUGGAUUACCAUAGAAAGCUAGAGGACCACCAGUGGCUUUUAGAUUUAUCUUUCCUCACUGAUCUGACUGGUGAGCUCAAUGAAUUGAAUUUAGAGCUGCGGGGUAAAGAUGUAGUCAACAUGAUGAGUUCAGUGAACACGUUUAAAAGCAAGCUACAGCUGAUGUACAGCAGGCUGCAGCGUGGGUAACCUGCACAACUUCCCACACAUGCAAUCAGAACUACAACAUCAAGGUAAAGGUGUGACACAGCUUGACAGUGCACGUUAUGAAGAGCAUGUUCAGAGCAUCUCCUCAGAGUUUGAGAGACGUUUUACUGACUUUGCAUCCAUCGAGCCUGUAGCCAGCUAUGUGUGUUAUCUAUUUGGUGCAAGUAUUGAUGUUGGUGACAUUGUCGCCAAAGUCAAAUCACUUUUUGACUUGGAAAGCUCCGCUCUUGAGGAUGAGAUUCUGACAUUGAGAUCAAAGCCAGAUCAACAUCCGCUCAACCUGGAGAGCAUGUGGUGUUCUGGAAACUACUGGUGGAGGAGAAAUAUCCCAAUCUCAGAAGAUGUGCCUUGAACCUGACAGCUCUUUUUGGAUCAACCUUUUUGUGCGAGUCUGCCUUCUUGCACAUGACAGUCAUCAAGUCCAAGCACAGAUCAGCAAUGACAGAUGGCCACCUUGCAGCCUGCCUAUGCCUGGCAACCAGGUCCUACGCUUCUGACUACGAGAAGCUAGCCUCCUCCUCCCAGUGCCAGGUCUCCCACUAAGGAAUCACAUCAGCUCAGCGGACUGCAGGCCUCAUCUCUGCAUAAUUCACACGUCUUUACAGCGCCGUGUUCUCCGUAAGUUCCCUCCAAGGCCAGGAACAGUGAGAAGAACGUGAUGUUCUGAAGGACCCCUGGGACGAUAUGAUCACAUCACCGUCUCAAAGUAAAGCCUCCUUUAUGUAACGUCAGAAAUCAAACAAGCUGACCUCCUGUCUCACCGAUUCACUCUCUGAUUAAUGGAACGAUUCAUCUUCUGGCAGGUUGAUGAGAUCAGCAGUUCCUGAUGCAGGCCCAGGGGCCUCUGAGGGCCCUCCAGAGGCUUCCUGGAGUUCAUACACUUAAUGCUGAAAAGUUUAAUUUCUCUUUAAUUAAAUCCACUCCAAUUAGCUCACAUAGAGGAUGGCUGAUGACUGCAGUAAUCACUGAGGAUCUCGUUGGCCCCUCCAGGCGUGGUUGCAUUGAGCCUGUAGGGCCCCUAUGGCAAGAAUCUGUGGCCUCUAUGUAGAAAUGAUGGACAGUUUUCACUCUUUUCUAACAUUUGGACAUUCAUUAAUGCAUUGCUGAGUGUUUGUAGCUCAGAGUGGCAGCUUCAUCCACCACCAUCUGAAUUCAGUGCUGAUGAUCCUGUUCCUGUUUUAGUCAAUGUUUAGUCUGAGAUUUUUAUGAAUUUAGGUUAAAAAAAAAAGUUUCAGUUUAGAUUUCAUCAGAGAAACUUGAGUCCCAUUCUCGCUUUUUUUUUUUUUUUUUUUUUAAGCAUUUUGAGUCUAUUGGUGCCAUAUUAGUGUCAGGUUACCAUGGUAACAGCUGUUAUUCCCGUCCAUGGUGAGGUUACUGACAAAGGACUGUUCAUGUUUGUCUGUUCUGCAGCGAUACAACAGACUGUCCUCAGAAAAUCCAGUUAUCAUUUUCAAACCCUGAACCGCUCUGGCUUCCUGUCCUGCUCACUUAGCAUUAGUAUCAGCAUUAGUAUCAGCAUUACAUCAGCAUUAGCAUCAGCAUUUGCAUUAGUAUUUGCAUUACCGCCGCUGCCUGGGUUAGGGUUAGUAGGGUUAGGGUUGGAAGGGUCAGGGUUAGUAGGGAUAGUAGGGUUAGUAGGGUUAGGGUUAGCAGGGUUACAGUUAGUAGGGUUAGAGUUGGAAGGGUUAGGGUUAGUAGUGUUAAUAAGGUUAGUAUGGUUAGGGGGGUUAGUAGGGUUAGGGUUAGUAGGGUUAAUAAGGUUAGUAGGGUUAGUGGGGUUAGUAGGGUUAAUAAGGUUAGUAUGGUUAGUAGGGUUACUAUGGCUAGGGUUAGUAGGGUUAGGUCAGUAGGGUUAGGUUUGUCACCGCAGCUGCCUGCUCUCUGCACUGAAGAGCUGCAGCUUAUUCACCAGAUGAUUCACGGACUGGUUCAAUAAUGUUUACUGUCUGGCUUCAGCUCCAGAGGAUUACUAAUCUGGAAGUGACUUCUGACAACUAAAAGUUAAUGUUACAUUUCCAUCAGUGAUGCUACUUUACCAGUGUUAGACCAGUGUUAGCUUAGCUUCUGCUGCCAAUCACAGGCAUGUGCUGUUGGUUUUAUAGCCAACUGUGAUUGGACGGAAUAUAAAGUUAAAAACCAAGCAUUUGCCUUUAUUCUGUCUACCUGUCUGUCCUUCCCUUCUGCAGAACAGCCGUGAUAACAGAAACCUGAAGUCACUUCUGAUUUCAAGUGUUUUAUAAUGGCUGUCUGGCACCGUGGGCUCAGGAUGACACCAUUUGGCCUUGGCACGGUGUCCCCGUCUAUAAAAAGUAAUGCCUACACCUAUUAAAAAAGACACUGAGUCAACAGUUUGGUUGGCAGUAUUUUAUUAUAAAUCCAGGGUUAGAGUCUUGGACAGAAGUCAAGCUCACUCAGUGCUGUUGAUGAAUUCUGUUUCAUGAAGCCCGCUGCUCUGUUCCAUUCAGGUGUGGUUUAUUUCUAAAGCUCUGCUUCUGUAGCUUCUCAAAGGGAAGAAAAUCACAGCUUGGUCUUUGCUUUUCUCUUGUCUGUGAUUUUUCUGCUUUUGUCCUCAGUUUGUCGGCUCUCUACAGUAAAUAAAUGAUAAUCUGACUUCCUCA